GACGAACGCUGGCGGCGUGCUUAACACAUGCAAGUCGAGCGGUAAGGCCUCUUCGUGGGUACACGAGCGUCGAACGGGUGAGUAACACGUUGGUGACCUGCCCUCAGCUCUGUGAUUAGCCUGUUUAACUGGGUCUAAUACCGGAUAUGACCUUUCCUCUCUUGGGGUUUGUUGGAUAGUUUUUUAGGCUUGGGAUGGGACCGCUGCCUAUCAGCUUGUUGGUGUGGUGUUGGCCUACCAAGGCGACGACGGGUAGCCGGCCUGCGAGGGCGACCGGCCACACUGGGACUGAGACACGGCACAGACUCCUACGGGAGGCAGCAGUGGGGAAGAUUGCGCAAUGGGCGGAAGCCUGACGCAGCGACGCCGCGUGGGGGAUGACGGCCUUCGGGUUGUAAAACUCUUUCGACCCCGACGAAUUUGGACGGUAGGGGUAGAAGAAGCACCGGCCAACUACGUG
rnacentral:rRNA from 1 species